rnacentral:rRNA from 1 species
AACGAACGCUGGCGGCAGGCUUAACACAUGCAAGUCGAACGCAUCGCAAGAUGAGUGGCAGACGGGUGAGUAACGCGUGGGAACAUACCCUUUUCUACGGAAUAGCUCUGGGAAACUGGAAUUAAUACCGUAUACGCCCUACGGGGGAAAGAUUUAUCGGGGAAGGAUUGGCCCGCGUUGGAUUAGCUAGUUGGUGGGGUAAAGGCCUACCAAGGCGACGAUCCAUAGCUGGUCUGAGGGGAUGAUCAGCCACAUUGGGACUGAGACACGGCCCAAACUCCUACGGGAGGCAGCAGUGGGGAAUAUUGGACAAUGGGCGCAAGCCUGAUCCAGCCAUGCCGCGUGAGUGAUGAAGGCCUUAGGGUUGUAAAGCUCUUUCACCGAUGAAGAUAAUGACGGUAGUCGGAGAAGAAGCCCCGGCUAACUUCGUGCCAGCCGCCGCAGUAAAAC